rnacentral:rRNA from 1 species
GACGAACGCUGGCGGCGUGCUUAACACAUGCAAGUCGAGAGGAGCGGCGAACGGGAGAGUAACGCGUGUGUAACUGCCCCCCUCUCUGGGAUAACUGUUGGAAACGGCUGCUCAUACCGGAUAGUGGGGGAUGACUCGCGUCCUCUCAGAUGGUUGGUGGGGUAGUGGCCUACCAAGCGGACGACGUGUAGACGGCCUGGGAGGGGGACCAGCCAAAUUGGGCUGAGAUACGGCCCAAAAUCCUACGGGAGGCAGCAGUGGGGAAUAUUGCACAAUGGGGGAAACCCUGAUGCAGCAACGCGCGUGCUGGAUGACGGCCUUGGGGUUGUAACCCGCGUUCAGCCAUGACGCGGUAGUGGCAGAAGAAGCACCGGCUAACUGCGUGCCAGCAGCCGCGGUAAUAC